rnacentral:rRNA from 1 species
ACCGAAUGCUUGCAUUCACCGUAAGAAGUUGAGUGGCGGACGGGUGAGUAACACGUGGGUAACCUGCCUAAAAGAAGGGGAUAACACUUGGAAACAGGUGCUAAUACCGUAUAUCUCUAAGGAUCGCAUGAUCCUUAGAUGAAAGAUGGUUCUGCUAUCGCUUUUAGAUGGACCCGCGGCGUAUUAACUAGUUGGUGGGGUAACGGCCUACCAAGGUGAUGAUACGUAGCCGAACUGAGAGGUUGAUCGGCCACAUUGGGACUGAGACACGGCCCAAACUCCUACGGGAGGCAGCAGUAGGGAAUCUUCCACAAUGGACGCAAGUCUGAUGGAGCAACGCCGCGUGAGUGAAGAAGGUCUUCGGAUCGUAAAACUCUGUUGUUAGAGAAGAACACGAGUGAGAGUAACUGUUCAUUCGAUGACGGUAUCUAACCAGCAAGUCACGGCUAACUACGUGCCAGCAGCCGCGGUAAUACGUAGGUGGCAAGCGUUGUCCGGAUUUAUUGGGCGUAAAGGGAACGCAGGCGGUCUUUUAAGUCUGAUGUGAAAGCCUUCGGCUUAACCGGAGUAGUGCAUUGGAAACUGGAAGACUUGAGUGCAGAAGAGGAGAGUGGAACUCCAUGUGGUUAG